AUAGCAUGAUGUGGACACUUGCGGAUGAGAUCUUUGAGUCUCUCUCGAGUUUCAUGAAACAUCUCCAUAUUCAUCUGAAAAAAACUAGGAAUGGCUUUUCUGAUUU